GAUGAACGCUGGCGGCGUGCCUAAUACAUGCAAGUCGAGCGAACAGACGAGGAGCUUGCUCCUCUGACGUUAGCGGCGGACGGGUGAGUAACACGUGGAUAACCUACCUAUAAGACUGGGAUCACUUCGGGAAACCGGAGCUAAUACCGGAUAAUAUAUUGAACCGCAUGGUUCAAUAGUGAAAUACGGUUUUGCUGUCACUUAUAGAUGGAUCCGCGCCGCAUUAGCUAGUUGGUAAGGUAACAGCUUACCAAGGCUACGAUGCGUAGCCGACGUGAGAGGGGGAUCGCCCACACUGGAACGGAGACGCGGUCCAGACUCCUACGGGAGGCAGCAGUAGGGAAUCUGCCGCAAUGGGCGAAAGCCUGACGGAGCAACGGGGCGUGAGUGAUGAAGGUCUUCGGAGCGUAAAACUCUGUUAUGAGGGAAGAACAAAUGUGUAAGUAACCAUGCACGGCGUGACGGUACCUAGUCAGAAAGCCACGGCUAACUACGUG
rnacentral:rRNA from 1 species